CUGAUGCAUUUUAUCAGAGCAGAAGAACUACCACUGUGAUGGAGGCCAGACAUUGAGGUCAAACUACCGCUGUUUGUUGUGCCCAGACUUCCACGAGGAGGGGGGCUGGCGGCUGGAGGACCUCCCUACUGGUGGGGCGAGUGACACCCGGCUCUACAGGGAUGACCACGGAGGAGAGAGAGCUGAAGCUGUGCAUCCUGAAGGGGAAUCUGCUACUGAUGGUACUGAUACUGGGCAGGAUGGGGUGUUGGGCUCUCCAUCAGAUGGUACUGGUGGUGCUGAUACUGGGCAUGAUGGGGUGUUGGGCUCUCCAUCAGAUGGUACUGGUGGUGCUGAUACUGUGCAGGAUGGGGUGUUGGGCUCUCCAUCAGAUGGUACUGGUGGUGCUGAUACUGGGUAGGAUGGGGUGUUGGGCUCUCCAUCAGAUGGUACUGGUGGUGCUGAUACUGGGCAGGAUGGGGUGAUGGGCUCUCCAUCAGAUGGCACUGGGCUCCAAC
ensembl:lncRNA